CCCUGCUUUUCCCAUCUUCCUCAUCUGCCAUGGAUUGUUGCUCCCUUUCCUUUUCUUUCUGCAUUGGUUGCUUGCUGCUGUUUUUCAACAAGCUGAAACUGGAAGGUAGUACUGUUUAGCAUGUAAAUAAAGUAACACUUUUCAUUCCUAUGUAAAUAGCUUUGUCUGGCAUUAUGUGCCAGGAACUUUCAUCAACAGAAUGAUGAAUUCAAGUUGUGCAUUCUGUGCCUCUUUUCUUUUGCAGUAGAGGAAAAGCUGUGGAUCCGGAUGGGAGGCAGACUGCGUUGGAUAAUCCAGACCGUUGGAUGGAUAGAUUGCCACUGGAAGCGUACUGCCAGCCAAGAAGGAUCAAGCAGAAUGUAAAGACUGCCCCAAAACAUUCCUCGAAAAACGGGCCACUGGCACACAAGAGGAGCUGCAGACAGGUUUACCAACAACACAGAAAAUUCUGCAUUUUGGACAUGUGUGGAAAAAUUUAAGACGAUUGCACCAUGUUUUGUACUCACCACAGAUUCUUUGUCUAUGAGUGUCCAAUGAAAUGGACACUCAUGUGGCAAGACCUGAUUUCACCAGUAGGCAAAGGGCAUCAGAGAUGGGUUGUAAGUGUGAGGUGAUCAUCUCCAAGGUGUGUCAAGAAAUGUUCUGGCUUCCCCCAAUAGGUUAAUUAGUGAUAGUGAUAUACAGUAGAGUCUCACUAAUCCAAGCUAAACGGGCCGGCAGAAGUUUGGAUAAGCGAAUAUCUUGGAUUAUAAGGACUGAUCAAGGAAAAGCCUAUUAAACAUCAAAUUAGGUUAUGAUUUUACAAAUUAAGCACCAAAACUUCACGUUAUACAACAAAUUUGACAGAAAAAGUAGUUCAAUACGCAGUAAUGUUAUGUUGUAAUUACUGUAUUUACGAAUUUAGCACCAAAAUAUCACGAUAUAUUGGAAACAUUGACUACAAAAAUGGCUUGGAUUAUCCAGAGGCUUGGACUAGCGAGGCUUGGAUUAGUGAGACUCUACUGUAUAUACAUUUUUUUUUUCAGAAUAAAGUUUCACAACUCAAAGCUCAAUCUCUUUAACUCCAUCAUAUUUCUCUUAAAUUUGCUUAGAUUUUUAAUGUAUGAUUGCUCUUCAAAACCCUCGUCUCUCAGGGUAACUCUGAUACUCACCAGGUUCAAGUGAGUUCAAAACUGUUUUGAAUGCAUCUCUUUAACUAUGCAGAAAUAAAACCCAAUUAUUGCCUCAAAGGUUAAUGUAAGAUUGACUGAGUGUACCUACAAAUGGUCUACCUUAUUAAAAACUCGCUUCACAAUGGA